rnacentral:lncRNA from 10 species
GUUGUUCUUCUCCACGUCAUAGCCAGCGGCUGCCAGCGCUUUCUUGAGAGCGGCCAAAGAUACGCCGCUGCGCUCCUUGGAGGCGGCAACAGCUUUAGUAAUGAGCUCGGACACCGGGGGCCCAGACGCUUUGCGCUUGGCCGCACCUGCAGACUUGCGGGCCUUCUUCUUCACGGGAGUCUUCUCGGCAGGGGCCGGAGCAGCGGGCGCGGCAGGCGCAGUCUCGGACAUGUUGAAGGCAAGCGUGAGCGAGAGCAAUUCGAGCCGGAAGCAGAGGCACUGGCCGGGACUCGAGCCGCGGCGCUGCGCCCGCCCGUUUAUAUAGGGCGGAGCUGCGCCGUGAUUGGUGCGCUGUCCAG